GACGAACGCUGGCGGCGUGCCUAAUACAUGCAAGUUGAGCGAUGAAGAUUGGUUCUUGCACCAAUUUGAAGAGCAGCGAACGGGUGAGUAACGCGUGGGGAAUCUGCCUUUGAGCGGGGGACAACAUUUGGAAACGAAUGCUAAUACCGCAUAACAACUUUAAACAUAAGUUUUAAGUUUGAAAGAUGCAAUUGCAUCACUCAAAGAUGAUCCCGCGUUGUAUUAGCUAGUUGGUGAGGUAAAGGCUCACCAAGGCGAUGAUACAUAGCCGACCUGAGAGGGUGAUCGGCCACAUUGGGACUGAGACACGGCCCAAACUCCUACGGGAGGCAGCAGUAGGGAAUCGUCGGCAAUGGACGAAAGUCUGACCGAGCAACGCCGCGUGAGUGAAGAAGGUUUUCGGAUCGUAAAACUCUGUUGGUAGAGAAGAACGUUGGUGAGAGUGGAAAGCUCAUCAAGUGACGGUAACUACCCAGAAAGGGACGGCUAACUACGUG
rnacentral:rRNA from 1 species